GAUGAACGCUAGCGGCAGGCUUAAUACAUGCAAGUCGUGGGGCAGCAGGUUUGUAGCAAUACAGAUGCUGGCGACCGGCAAACGGGUGCGGAACACGUACAGAACCUUCCUUUGAGCGGGGAAUAGCCCAGAGAAAUUUGGAUUAAUACCCCAUAGUAUAAUGAAGUGGCAUCACUUUAUUAUUAAAGAUUUAUCACUCGAAGAUGGCUGUGCGGCUGAUUAGGUAGUUGGCGGGUAAAGGCCCACCAAGCCUGCGAUCAGUAACUGGUGUGAGAGCACGACCAGUCACACGGGCACUGAGACACGGGCCCGACUCCUACGGGAGGCAGCAGUAAGGAAUAUUGGUCAAUGGAGGCAACUCUGAACCAGCCAUGCCGCGUGGAGGAUGAAGGUCCUCUGGAUUGUAAACUUCUUUAUAUGGACGAAAAAGGCUUUUACUAAGUCGUCUGACGGUACCGAUAUGAAUAAGCACCGGCUAACU
rnacentral:rRNA from 1 species